rnacentral:rRNA from 1 species
UACGAAGGGGGGCUAGCGUUGCUCGGAAUCACUGGGCGUAAAGGGUGCGUAGGCGGGUCUUUAAGUCAGGGGUGAAAUCCUGGAGCUCAACUCCAGAACUGCCUUUGAUACUGAAGAUCUUGAGUUCGGGAGAGGUGAGUGGAACUGCGAGUGUAGAGGUGAAAUUCGUAGAUAUUCGCAAGAACACCAGUGGCGAAGGCGGCUCACUGGCCCGAUACUAACGCUGAGGCACGAAGCGUGGAGCAACAGG